CCUACGGGUGGCAGCAGUGAGGAAUAUUGGUCAAUGGACGGAAGUCUGAACCAGCCAUGCCGCGUGCAGGAAGACGGCUCUAUGAGUUGUAAACUGCUUUUGUACAAGGGCAAACCUGAAUACGUGUAUUCAGCUGAAAGUACUGUACGAAUAAGGAUCGGCAAACUCCGUUCCAGCAGCCGUGGUAAUACGGAGGAUCAAAGCGUUAUCCGGAUUUAUUGGGUUUAAAGGGUGCGUAGGCGGAUUGAUAAGUUAGAGGUGAAAUGUCGGGGUUUAACUCGGGAACUGCCUCUAAUACUGUUGAUCUAGAGAGUAGAGGCGGUAGACGGAAUGUAUGGUGUAGCGGUGAAAUGCUUAGAGAACAGACAGAACACCGAUUGCGAAGGCAGCGUACCAGUCUAUAUCUGACGUUGAGGGACGAAAGCGUGGGGAGCAAACAGGAUUAGAUACCCCUGGUAGUC
rnacentral:rRNA from 1 species